rnacentral:rRNA from 1 species
CCUCGAAUCAGGUGGGACUACCCGCUGAACUUAAGCAUAUCAAUAAGCGGAGGAAAAGAAACUAACAAGGAUUCCCCUAGUAACGGCGAGUGAAGCGGGAAAAGCUCAAAUUUAAAAUCUGGCAGUCUUCGAUUGUCCGAGUUGUAAUCUAGAGAAGCGUUUUCCGCGCUGGACUGUGUACAAGUUUCCUGGAUACGGAACAUCAUAGAGGGUGAGAAUCCCGUCCUUGACACAGACUCCCAGUGCUCUGUGAUGCGCUCUCGACGAGUCGAGUUGUUUGGGAUUGCAGCUCAAAAUGGGAGGUAAAUUCCUUCUAAAGCUAAAUAUUGGCGAGAGACCGAUAGCGAACAAGUACCGUGAGGGAAAGAUGAAAAGCACUUUGGAAAGAGAGUUAAACAGUACGUGAAAUUGUUAAAAGGGAAACGCUUGAAGUCAGUCGCGUUUACUUGGACUCAGCCUUACCUCGGUUUGGUGCAUUUCCUUGUGAACGGGCCAGCGUUCAUGUUGCUUGCUGGAAAAGGGGUGAAGGAAUGUGGCUCUUUCGGGAGUGUUAUAGCCUUUGCUCGUAUACGGGGAGUGAUAUGGAGUGGUACAGCAUGCUUCGGUGGUGCUUGUGCUGGCAUA